GAUGAACGCUAGCGACAGGCCUAACACAUGCAAGUCGAGGGGUAACGAGAGGAAAGCUUGCUUUCCUUGUCGACGACCGGCGCACGGGUGAGUAACGCGUAUCCAACCUGCCCCCAACUAGGGAAUAACCUUGCGAAAGUAAGACUAAUACCCUAUAAUUUCCUCAGAUGUCAUCUGACGAGGAAUAAAGAUUUAUCGGUUGUGGAUGGGGAUGCGUCUGAUUAGCUUGUUGGCGGGGUAACGGCCCACCAAGGCAACGAUCAGUAGGGGUUCUGAGAGGAAGGUCCCCCACAUUGGAACUGAGACACGGUCCAAACUCCUACGGGAGGCAGCAGUGAGGAAUAUUGGUCAAUGGGCGGAAGCCUGAACCAGCCAAGUAGCGUGCAGGAUGACGGCCCUAUGGGUUGUAAACUGCUUUUAUACAGGAAUAAAGUUAGCCACGUGUGGUUAUUUGUAGGUACUGUAUGAAUAAGGACCGGCUAAUUCCGUGCCAGCCGCCGCAGUAA
rnacentral:rRNA from 1 species